rnacentral:rRNA from 1 species
GACGAACGCUGGCGGCGUGCUUAACACAUGCCAGUCGAACGGAAAGGCCCUGCUUUUGUGGGGUGCUCGAGUGGCGAACGGGUGAGUAACACGUGAGUAACCUGCCCUUGACUUUGGGAUAACUUCAGGAAACUGGGGCUAAUACCGGAUAGGAGCUCCUGCUGCAUGGUGGGGGUUGGAAAGUUUCGGCGGUUGGGGAUGGACUCGCGGCUUAUCAGCUUGUUGGUGGGGUAGUGGCUUACCAAGGCUUUGACGGGUAGCCGGCCUGAGAGGGUGACCGGCCACAUUGGGACUGAGAUACGGCCCAGACUCCUACGGGAGGCAGCAGUGGGGAAUAUUGCACAAUGGGCGGAAGCCUGAUGCAGCAACGCCGCGUGCGGGAUGACGGCCUUCGGGCUGUAAUCCGCUUUCGCCUGUGACGAAGCGUGAGUGACGGUAAUGGGUAAAGAAGCACCGGCUAACUACGUG